rnacentral:rRNA from 1 species
GACGAACGCUGGCGGCGUGCCUAAUACAUGCAAGUCGAACGCUUUUUCUUUCACCGGAGCUUGCUCCACCGAAAGAAAAAGAGUGGCGAACGGGUGAGUAACACGUGGGUAACCUGCCCAUCAGAAGGGGAUAACACUUGGAAACAGGUGCUAAUACUGUAUAACACUAUUUUCCGCAUGGAAGAAAGUUGAAAGGCUCUUUUGCGUCAAUGAUGGAUGGCCCUGCGGUGCAUUAGCUAGUUGGUGAGGUAACGGCUCACCAAGGCAACGAUGCAGAGCCGACCUGAGAGGGUGAUCGGCCACACUGGGACUGAGACACGGCCCAGACUCCGACGGGAGGCAGCAGUAGGGAAUCUUCGGCAAUGGACGAAAGUCUGACCGAGCAACGCCGCGUGAGUGAAGAAGGUUUUCGGAUCGUAAAACUCUGUUGUUAGAGAAGAACAAGGAUGAGAGUAAAACGUUCAUCCCUUGACGGUAUCUAACCAGAAAGCCACGGCUAACUACGUGCCAGCCGCCGCGGUAA